UACGAAGGGGGCUAGCGUUGUUCGGAAUUACUGGGCGUAAAGCGCGCGCAGGCGGUCUUCCAAGUCAGUGGUGAAAGCCUGGAGCUCAACUCCAGAACUGCCAUUGAAACUGUUAGACUUGAGUACGAGAGAGGUGAGUGGAAUUCCCAGUGUAGAGGUGAAAUUCGUAGAUAUUGGGGAGAACACCAGUGGCGAAGGCGGCUCACUGGCUCGUAACUGACGCUCAGGCGCGACAGCGUGGGGAUCAAACAGG
rnacentral:rRNA from 1 species